rnacentral:misc_RNA from 1 species
GAUGAAGAACGCAGCGAAAUGCGAUACGUAAUGUGAAUUGCAGAAUUCAGUGAAUCAUCGAAUCUUUGAACGCACAUUGCGCCCGCCAGUAUUCUGGCGGGCAUGCCUGUUCGAGCGUCAUUACAACCCUCAGGCCCCCGGGCCUGGCGUUGGGGAUCGGCGGAAGCCCCCUGCGGGCACAACGCCGUCCCCCAAAUACAGUGGCGGUCCCGCCGCAGCUUCCAUUGCGUAGUAGCUAACACCUCGCAACUGGAGAGCGGCGCGGCCACGCCGUAAAACACCCAACUUCUGAAUGUUGACCUCGAAUCAGGUAGGAAUACCCGCUGAACUUAAGCAUAUCAAUAAGCGGAGGA